rnacentral:sRNA from 1 species
AUGUAGCCCCAGGCCGAAGACGGCCUCCAGGCAGUGCUCCCUGAGCUAUGUACUGUCUUUCUCUUCUUGCAGGGUUAAAACACCAGGCAAAAAGAAGCAUUAAUGAGAUGCUGGCAGACAGACACCUCCAGAGAGACAAUCUUCAUGCACAGGUGAGAGGCAGGACCACCAGCUGCUCUAAGGGGUCCUUUCCCUUCCAGGGAGAAGAAGCCCCAGGAACUGGGUUGGGUCAGAGAUUCAGCGCUGGAGCUCUCAUGGUCCUGGGGGCUGCUGGGGCCUGCAGGUGGGAUAGAGCCUCUGCCUUCAGGAACCCACAGUCUGAUGGAAGAGACAGAGCCAUGCCCUCAGGGAGCUCCCAGCCUAAUGAGGGAGACCUGGCCCCACUCUGGGGCAAUGACCUAUUUUCACAGAAGCAAAUCUGAGCCUCUCAUCUGAGAAGUCUGGUGAAAUGCGAGAGACAUGGUGGGGAAAUAGGACCUUGCGGGGCCCAGAGGUGGGGUGGGUAAGAUUCAGGGGAAUCCUGUGAGAACAGGUGAAGCAAGGUGUCAGGAAGGGGCAGGGCUCUCCCCAAGGAUAAAAAAUGCCUGCCCCAUGCAAGGUGAAGGGGCUAGCACAGAGUCGGUGCUCAGUUAAUGGGAGGAGGGCCCUUACCCCUUCCCGGUAGUGCCCAGCGCUUUCUCCUAAGCUGCUGAGAAGGGACAGGAGCAUCAGCCAUGCUGUGGCUGGGGCUGGGACAGUGUGUUGUGCUGACAAGAACAUUUGCAUCCAGAAACUGCCUGGGUUCGAACCCCAGCUUUGGCACAUCCUAGCCUUGUGCACUUGAGCAGGUUGCCUGAGCCUCAGUUUCCCCCGGACAGCAAUGGUUUCUAUUGCACAAAGCUGUUGUGAGGCUUCAAGGAGCUAGCGGGCCCAGAGGGCUCCACACGGGCCCAGCGCACAGUAGGUGCUUGGCCAGUGUUAUGCUCUUCCUAGUCCUGGGCUGCCCAGCUGCCUCCUUCCCCAGAAAUGCAUUGACUGGAACCGUAAUGUGCUGAAGCGGGAGCUGGGCCUGGCAGAGAGUGACAUCGUGGACAUUCCCCAGCUCUUCUUCCUGAAAAACUUCUACGCGGAAGCCUUCUUCCCAGACAUGGUUAACAUGGUGGUCUUAGGCAAGUACCUGGGCAUCCCCAAGCCCUACGGGCCCAUCAUCAAUGGCCGCUGCUGCCUGGAGGAGAAGGUGCAGUCCCUGCUGGAGCCUCUGGGCCUGCACUGCAUCUUCAUUGAUGACUACUUGUCCUACCACGAGCUGCAGGGGGAGAUCCACUGUGGCACCAACGUGCGCAGGAAGCCCUUUCCCUUCAAAUGGUGGAACAUGGUGCCCUGAGCCUGCCCCCACCCACCAUCCUCUCUGCCCUCUUGCUAGGGAACCCUGCCAGGGUGAGGGCAAGGAACAACCACCUGGCCUCCAUUCUCUUGGGGGAGUCUUGGCACUUUGCAAACAUCCUGGCCACCGUGGGCACCAGGACACAGGGAUGGAUACCACCUACCCUUGCCUCUGGAAUGGCCUACCCAACCCGAGAAGAAUGCACCUCAUUCUUCCCUGGCCUCUUUCCCACCCACAGCCCCCAGAGGCUCUAGAUCAACAAUGUUAGCAAGUUCGAGAAUGGCUGUGGGAGGCCUAGGGAGAUGGGCCCCACUUAGAAUUGCUCCCCCUUCAUUCUGAUGCCUCCCUGGGGAACAAGGAUAAUGACUUUGCAUCUGUACCUGGAACGGGGCCUGGGGGACCUGGGGUCUGGUGUGCCAGGCACCAGGCUGCCUCUGCUCUUGGAAAACUAGGAAAGGGGAUCAGAAACAUCCUCUCCCCGCUCUAGGUUUCUUCUCCCAAAGGGGACCCAAGGCUGUGACACUUACCUCCACCCCCAUCCAGCACCCUUCAGCUGUGUGUGGACAAACAAGGACAGAAAAACCCAGUGUCCAAGGGCCAAUUUAAAUAGAAAAAAGACAACAAAAUUUUAAUAGCUGACUCCGACCUCAGAAGAGUGAUUGCUACCUUUCUGGAAAGACUUUAAUUACCAGAGCUGGCUUCUCCCAGCUCAGAAAUGCUGAGAGGCCAACGUGAGGCCUGAGGACACACAAAGGAUGACGGGGCAGGAGGGGAUGAGGUCAGGGUAGCAGAGUGUGUGACGACGGAUUUGGGGGCCUAGAGGUGUCCGUGGUUCCUGGGCUGGGAUUUUGGACUCUGGAUUUGAAGGGAGCUGGAGCUUCCAGAUGUAGCAGGGGUAGGGGGCCAGAUGUUAGAAGAGGGUGUGUGUGUUGGGAGGAAAUUAGGUUAUCUCUGAAGGUGGAGUUUAAUUUCCUUUAAUAGUCUUUAAUUAUUCCCCUUCAUUCUGCAGGCAGUGGGAGGGGAAGGCUUGCCCGGUCUCUCUCAGCAACCCAGGGACCCUGCACAUAGCUUAGGUUUCAUCCCUGAAUAAACCGCUGUGCAGGCCCAUGUCCCCUCCCACAGUAGGGAAGACAGCUGCCACGGGAGGUUAAUAGCCCUGAGUUAGGUCACUGAGACAUGCACAGGCAGGCUGGUUCAGCUGGGCUGCAGGGCACGGGCAGGAGGAAGCCAGCCUACCCUCUUCCCCCACUGCCAGUGAGGCCAUUGUAGGGCAGUUGGCCCUAGGGCUUCGGUCCAUCUAGGUUUUCAGUGGUCCCUGCUGAGACCUCACACUGAGCCAACUACUGUCACUCUUUUAACCAAGAAAAGCUAGCCUGGAACUGCUAUGGUUAAAGUGGGUGAGCGGGAACCUGAAAAUCCCCUUCUGGAAGGUUCUACAGAACUCUAUUCGCAAGCUCCUGCUUUAACCUGAGCGUCCUCUGCUCAGGAUCAUACCCCAGCCUGCACUGAGUCAAGAAGGAGAAGGAGGCUCUGAAGGGGCCGGGGGUGUGAGCUGGGGUUGGGACUCCCCUGAGAAAGAGCUGUGGGUAGGAAGGGAGUGAGCAUUGCAGAGAUAGGGCUGGGGGUCGGGGCCACACUGAGUGUGGGAAGCUCUGGAGUUGUUGCUGGGCCAUCGAGGGGCCCUGGUGUUGGCUCUGAGAAUGUUCUGGGUGACCAGUCACCUACUUUCUGAUCAAUAAAAAUGUCGACAUGCAUUUCUU